rnacentral:lncRNA from 1 species
UUUUCAUAGCAAUCAGAAUCAGGAUCAGGGCCCCUAAAACUCAGGGGGGGCAAAACCCUAAUAACGAUUAUCUUCAUAACUCAUUAUAAAAUUCGAAAUUUACAAAACCGUCGACACAGCAAGCCUACAUGCACAAAGGGCUACUCUAUGAAAAUAGGGUGGUCACUCGCGUAGCGCGACGCCUAAGGGGGUACCCCCUCGCGCUACGCGACGGUGUCAAAAUUUCAGUAUAAAUAGCAGGGGUUGGGACUUGAAUUUUGGCACUUGAACGACGAAAAUCGGAGUUACGUAGGUCGAGUUAUAAGCAAAACAGUCCAACCCACACACACAAUUAUCGAAUCGCUGCCGCAAAACAGGGUAAUUAGUCGAUCGCUAUUACGAUUCAGUUUCCGGGAUCAAUAUACCCAAAGAAUGUCUAAGUGCCGCCCACAUUGGGCUAUGCUUUAUCGUUGUCAAUAAUUCGAUAAUGAGCCGAAGCAUUGUACUUUGUCGUUGUCGAUAAUUCGAUAUACGAGUUGAAGUACUAUACUUUGUCGUUUGUCAUUUUGAUAAAUGAGCUGAAGUAUUGCACUUGGACAUUCAUUGUAAAAAUUGAUCUCGGGGAAUUAUCGUAACUGUUGUAUUGAUCAUUAACCUGGUUCUUGUAAAAUUCGUUAAGAGUUGAUUUAGGUUUUUCACCAAUACGUAUUCCAUUUCUGUUAAACUACCAAGAAUACUCCCAACUACACCCUUACAAUCAAACAAACUAUAAAAUCAUCAGAAGAUCCAGAAUAAUAAAGUGCAUGCUUAAUUAUCGGAAGAAGUAGAAUCAGGAAGUUUGUUAACUCAAUCCUGCAUGCUGAUUGUUAUUACAAUAGAUUGGAGUAAGGAUUGGAUCCGACACUGAAGGACUUCAAGAAGUGGCUUAUUUUAUUAAUUAAAUCAAUUAAGAAAUAUUGUUUUUAUUAAAAGCUACCUUUGUAAAACAUGGAAUUUAUUCCAUUUUUUUUAAAUAAAAUCCGGUGUUUCUAAACUCUGAUAUUUUUCCUAACUCACGGUCCUGAUGAAAUUUCCGCU